rnacentral:sRNA from 1 species
UAGGGAUAGAGGCGGCAUCUUUUUUGAUUUUCCCUGGACCGUGUUCGGGAAAGAAUCAAAAAUAUAUAGCCGAAAGCCCGACCUUUU